rnacentral:sRNA from 2 species
CCGAAGAGUUUUCCAUUCGUUUUAUAGGACGCGAUGUUUGAGAGCGCUCGACCAUGUCAUGCCUCGAGGAAAGUAUGCACAAUACAGAUGUGAUGAAAUUGAGCAUCACCUAGAGUCCAUGCUUCCUGAGCUUGAAAAAAGCCAAAUGUGUUCCUCACACUUCCAUUUCAAAAAUUUGGAAGACCAGGGAGGUUCACUGAGUAUGUUAAAAACAAACCAGGUCUGUCUUUUGUGUCAUUUCCGAGCACCUGAACGUGUCUUGAGUUGCGGGCACUCGAUUUGCGACAUAUGUGUCAGGCGUUUUGGUCGCGGGAUUUCAGGU